GAUGAACGCUGGCGGCGUGCCUAAUACAUGCAAGUCGAGCGAACAGACGAGGAGCUUGCUCCUCUGACGUUAGCGGCGGACGGGUGAGUAACACGUGGAUAACCUACCUAUAAGACUGGGAUAACUUCGGGAAACCGGAGCUAAUACCGGAUAAUAUAUUGAACCGCAUGGUUCAAUAGUGAAAGACGGUUUUGCUGUCACUUAUAGAUGGAUCCGCGCCGCAUUAGCUAGUUGGUAAGGUAACGGCUUACCAAGGCAACGAUGCGUAGCCGACCUGAGAGGGUGAUCGGCCACACUGGAACUGAGACACAGUCCAGACUCCUACGGGAGGCAGCAGUAGGGAAUCUUCCGCAAUGGGCGAAAGCCUGACGGAGCAACGCCGCGUGAGUGAUGAAGGUCUUCGGAUCGUAAAACUCUGUUAGUAGGGAAGAACAAAUGUGUAAGUAACUAUGCACGUCUUGACGGUACCUAAUCAGAAAGCCACGGCUAACUACGUG
rnacentral:rRNA from 1 species